UGGAUGCAAAAACAUGUGAAACAAAUGAGUGCAAUGCACCAGUGUCAAAUAAAACAUGAGCAAUAUGGUCACAGAUAGUGUACCUACCUUGUACCACAUCCGGGUCGACGUCGGCAUCCUGUUGUGUGAGGUUGUAAACCAUGCCCUGAAAAGGAGGUCUUCCUUAGUUCUGGUUCCUCGGGCACUCUCUCGCAUAGUGCCGGACACUACCACAUAUGCAACAGGUGUUGUUGAGGCGAUAGCAUGGUCGGUCACCGUGAUCCCUGCUGCAGUGCUGACAGAUCUUGCCACGUGCUGCCCCUAGAGCCUAAGGGGGAGCCUGGAUCGCUAGUCUGGGCCUCUUAUUUUGUUGGACAAGCGCAGUAGGUGUUGGUCUGCGGGGUGGAGCUGAGGGUCUGUGACUCCCUGCUGACUGGGAAGGGGUGUUGAAACUCCUCUCCAUGAUCUGCGCCUUUGCCAGAACGACUGAAUAUGUCUUG
rnacentral:lncRNA from 1 species